rnacentral:rRNA from 1 species
GGGAAAGGUUCGCGGGUCUGAGAUGAGCUUGCGGCCCAUUAGCUUGUUGGCGAGGUAACGGCUCACCGAGGCAGCGAUGGGUAGCUGGUCUGAGAGGAUGAUCAGCCACACUGGCUCUGAGACACGGGCCAGACUCCUACGGGAGGCAGCAGUGGGGAAUUUUGCGCAAUGGGCGAAAGACUGACGCAGUAACGCCGCGUGGAGGAUGAAGGCCCUCGGGUCGUAAACUCCUGCCUGGGGGAAAGAUGAUGACGGUACCCCCCAAAGAAAGCCCCGGCUAAUUCCGUGCCAGCAGCCGCGGUAAUACGGAAGGGGCAAGCGUUGUUCGGAAUUAUUGGGCGUAAAGGGCGUGCAGGCGGUCUCGUAUGUCUACUGUGAAAUCACACGGCUCAACCGUGUUAAGCCGUAGAAACUGCGAGACUUGAGGCUGGGAGGGGCUGGUGGAAUUCCCUGUGUAGCGGUGAAAUGCGUAGAGAUGGGGGAGAACACUCGUGGCGAAGGCGGCCAGCUGGACCAGUUCUGACGCUGAGACGCGAGAGCGUGGGGAGCAAACAGGAUUAGAUACCCUGGUAGUCCACGCCGUAAACGAUGGGCACUAGGUGUCGGCGGUAUUAAUCCCGUCGGUGCCGGCGCUAACGCAGUAAGUGCCCCGCCUGGGGAGUACGGUCGCAAGGCUGAAACUCAAACGAAUUGACGGGGGCCCGCACAAGCGGUGGAGCAUGUGGUUUAAUUCGACGCAACGCGAAGAACCUUACCUAGGUUUGACAUGCAUUGGAUCGGCUGUGAAAGCAGUCUUCCCUUCGGGGCCGAUGCACAGGUGCUGCAUGGCUGUCAUCAGCUCGUGUCGUGAGAUGUUGGGUUAAGUCCCGCAACGAGCGCAACCCUUACCCUUUGUUGCUACCGGGUCAUGCCGGGC